UCUAUAGGUGGUAGCAGUUCUGAUCUUUUGUCCUUUUACUUUAAACUAAUUCUACUUUUAUAUGCAUCCCACUUAUGAAUUGUAUAGAAGGAACAUUGUGGAACCCUAGUUAACAUCCAUGCUAACCUUUUUUACUUAACCCUGUAGUCUUUACUAAGUAAAGAAAGCUCCCCAUUGAAGUCAGCAGAAAAUCUUGACGGAGUAAGGGCUGCAGGCCUAUGAAGUGGCUUACUUCCAAAAUCAGUCAUAUACAACAUAUGUCAGUGUUGUUCUAAUGAACUGAAGAGGGAAUGGUUUUAAAUUAUGUUUAGAUAUAUGUCUUCUAAAAUUCAGACUUAGUGCCAGAAAGAGUUCCCUAUUCACAUACCUCUUAAAUAGAGAGUUGAAUGGAACACCAAUUGCACAAUGAUGUAUCCAUGUACAUAUAUGUGUGUGUGAGUGUAUCUAUGUGUGUGUGUAUAAAAUUUUGUAUGGGCAGGAAAGGAUAAAGGAGUUAAAGAAUUCCAACACCAUAUAUUAUGGAUUUUAAAUACAUUAGUUUCCUUAUAGUGACAUCUGAUUGCAUUGCAAUCAUAGCUACUUGCUUCUCUUCACACUGAUAUUUUAAAAUAUUUAACACUUCUAUAUUUCAUUUUAAUGUAAAGGCCUUGACAAUAAAUGACUGGAACUUUUUUGAACAUGGAAGCUAGAUAUAAUGACUCUGUACAAUAAUAGUUCAGUACAUUUUUGUGUAUAACAUUGCAGAGUUCCUCCCAUCUUGCACUUUGAGAAUUCAUUUUUAUUACUCAACUGACAAGUUGCUGCUUAUCUAGAAUGGUUCAUCCUGUCAAAUUACAAUUACUUACAUAACUUCACAUUCAUAUUCAGUUUUUAGUUUAUCUUUUAGUGAGGGCAAUAUGUAAAUAUAAUAUAAAAGUGCACUUCAUAGUUAAUACUUUACAAGAAGAUUGACAGUUGUUUUAAUUAAAUGUGUUCUUUGGGCUCCUGUAUUUGGAUACCAAAAUACAGCAUUUCACCACAUUUAUAAAAUUGUGUUUGCAUUUAUUUAAUUUAGGUAUCUUUUUUAACGCGUGUAGCCUUGAAUGUUUGUUCUCCAUUUUUUUUUCACAUCAUUACUCUGAUACUGCUUGAUUAGCUCCCUCCCCAGUCAUGAUUGGUAAUUAAAAUAGGCAUUAAAAUUAGUCACUUAGCAAUUUUGCUGUUCAAUUGGCAAUUAAAUUACUUAAUUGCAAUUAAAGUCCUAAUUUUAAUUGGCAAAAUGAUAGAUGUAGAUUUAAGAUAAUAUGUAUAAAUACUUUAAUAAGUGUCUAUAUAAGGAUUACUUAAUUACUCAACUUCAAGUUUAUGCUGUUAACUUUAGAACUUUUAAGUGAGCAAUGAAAUUUAUAUUACAUCUAUUCUAAGGAUAUGGUAAUUAGGUGUAUUACUUAUCACUAUAAGGGUUUUUGCUAUAAGUUACUUCUGUAGCUUUUAAAAUUGUAUCCUGGGCCAGCCAUUGUAAUUGUACAUGUUCUAUGUUAUGUAUCCUUUUAGGUCUUUGAUCCAGCCUGGCUUUCACUGAACUGGUACCUUGUCCUACUGAAGCAGUCUAGGGUUAUUCAUAGGUGAGACUGAACCGUCAUAAUUGCAGAAUUAUUUUCCUGCCGUGAGUCCCACUGAAUGAAGUAAGAGUUGUGCUAUUGACAUCAGUAGGCAUAGAAGGUGACACGUAUGAAAUGUUUUUAACAUGUAUGAGAUAAAAGGCUUUCUUGAAAUUGUUUUUAAAUUAUUGACUUGAAAGGUCCCAGAAUCCUAAGCUGCAUUUUUAUUUGUAUAUGUGAUAGUAUAAUAAAAACAUAAC